rnacentral:rRNA from 1 species
AAAUUGAAGAGUUUGAUCAUGGCUCAGAUUGAACGCUGGCGGCAGGCCUAACACAUGCAAGUCGAGCGGAAACGAGUUAUCUGAACCUUCGGGGAACGAUAACGGCGUCGAGCGGCGGACGGGUGAGUAAUGCCUAGGAAAUUGCGCUGAUGGUGGGGAUAACCAUUGGAAACGAUGGCUAAUACCGCAUGAUGCCUUUGGGCCAAAGAGGGGGACCUUCGGGCAUCAC